rnacentral:rRNA from 1 species
UGGCGGACGGGUGAGUAACGCGUGGGUAACCUGCCUCAUACAGGGGGAUAACAGUUAGAAAUGACUGCUAAUACCGCAUAAGCGCACAAAACCGCAUGGUUUGGUGUGAAAAACUCCGGUGGUAUACGAUGGAUCCGCGUCUGAUUAGCCAGUUGGCGGGGUAACGGCCCACCAAAGCGACGAUCAGUAGCCGGCCUGAGAGGGUGAACGGCCACAUUGGGACUGAGACACGGCCCAAACUCCUACGGAAGGCAGCAG